AUACAGACAAAAGGACAUAGAUACCAGAUCACAAGGCCUGUUAGUCUUGUUCGGUGCUUCAACAGGAUCACACAGCCUUAUAUACACCCAAAUAUUAUAAAGAUCAUUAAGCAUUUUGCUUAUCCUGUAAGGGCCCGUCCAGUCACAAUCAAACUUAGAAAUUCUGGGCUCCUUGAAUUCUGGGCCGCAAUAGUCUGGGUAGUGGUGAUUUUAGCAAAGAGCUCGUCAAAGUGUUGCGCAAAGAGAACCUAAAGACUGAGGAUGGAAAGCUGUUGAAGUUAUUCUUUGGAUCUUGAAAAUCCUACAAAAAUGUUUCAUCACCUGACUAGUGAAAUUCCUUCCCUGGUCAGUAUGGAUUACCCGCGGACACCCAAAUCUGCUUAUAAAUUGCUCAGCGAAUGCAUGAGCGACAGUUUUCGUGUCGAUGGUUCUCAAAGGUAAUGGUCCCACUAUAUCCAUUUGGAUUUUUUCAAAAGCCUGACGAGGAGUAUCCGUGAUUAACAUCGGCUGUUUAGUUUUAGCGGAAUAAUUUUUAUUCCUUUGACAGACAGGGCAGGAGCGAACGAACUCCGCAAUUUCCUUUGCCAUGCCCGGCCAAUAAAAACGUUCACGAAUGAGUUGAUUCAAUUUAUAAAUGCCCCUAUGACCUCCUACCACCGAAUCGUGAUGUUCUCGAAUAAUCUGAGACCGUGUCGACUCCGACGGAACUUCAACUUCACCAGCACACAAGGUAAUUACGUAUUCUGAAUUCUCAAAAAUUUGUUUAAGUAAGUCUAUUAUACUACUCCGGUCUGGAGCAUUGAAUCUAUCCGGAUCUAUUAAAAGACUGAAGGUUUAAGAACCCAUAGUAUCAAGAAGAGUUUUUAAUGACUUUAACGAUGAUUCAACGUGACUAAAAUCCAAUUCGUCAUGAGGU